CCAGCUCCAGUAGCGUAUAUUAAAGUUGCUGCAGUUAAAAAGCUCGUAGUUGAAUUUCUGCCUGUUAGAGUCGAAUCUUUACAGAUGAGAUUUCUACGGGCAUCUGCCUGCAAUCAUACGUUCGUUCUUCAUUGAAUGGCUAUGUGAGCAGACGUUUUACCUUGAGAAAAUUAGAGUGUUCCAGGCAGGCUUCAGCCGGAAUACAUUAGCAUGGAAUAAUGGAAUAGGACUGGGGACUAUUUAUUGGUUUGAGGCUCCAGUAAUGAUUAAUAGGAACAGUCGGGGGCAUUAGUACUUGACAGUCAGAGGUGAAAUUCUUGGAUUUGUCAAAGACUAACUAAUGCGAAAGCAUUUGCCAAGCAUGUUUUCA
rnacentral:rRNA from 1 species